rnacentral:rRNA from 1 species
CCCUUAGAUGUUCUGGGCCGCACGCGCGCUACACUGACGAAGUCAGCGAGCAUGUCCUACGCCGACAGGCGCGGGGAAUCUUGUCAAACUUCGUCGUGAUGGGGAUUGAUUAUUGAAAUUCUUGAUCAUCAACGAGGAAUUCCUAGUAAGCGCAAGUCAGCAGCUUGCGUUGAUUACGUCCCUGCCCUUUGUACACACCGCCCGUCGCCACUACCGAUUGAAUGGUUUAGUGAGAUCUUCGGAUUGGCGCCACUGCGGCUCAGCAAUGGGCUCGGUGGAUGCCGAAAAGUUGAUCAAACUUGAUCAUUUAGAGGAAGUAAAAGUCGUAACA